AGACUUGCAUUACCUAUUCUAUAUCCUUCGCAUUCCACUUCCUGAAUUGCUCCGGUCCUGCAGGAAAUUCC